rnacentral:tRNA from 1 species
GCCGGGAUAGCUCAGCGGUAGAGCAGCUGUUUUGUAAACAGCAGGUCGCAGGUUCAAAUCCUGUUCCCGGCUCCA